rnacentral:lncRNA from 1 species
UAAACCAAUUUUAUUUUUGGUUUGGGAAAGGGAAUUAGGCCCCAUAUAUACAUGACUGCAUAGAAAAAGAAGGUAUAAUUUCACAGGCACCAGGAAGGCUUAGAAGCUUUGAUUGAAAUUGUAAUAGUGGUCCAACAACCCGCAAACAAUUACAAAAAUCACUGCUACGGCUGGCUUUGGGAAACGCAAUAGUUGCUGCAUUACAACAAUAAGAACUUGGACUGGACUUCACAUCCGCCAAAUAGGUCCCACAGAAGGCAAGUAAUUCUCUAUAUCCAUUGCACGUUUCAGGAAAAUAAAGUUGAUAACUUGCACUGAGUGUUGUUACUGCCAAACCAUAAGCCAUGACAAACAUCACAAGAGCCAAAAUUUUCUUCUCCCUCAUCUUAUCUUGAAUAUGAAUACAAUUAAUUGUUUUCAGUAUUAUGAAGUUUUUAUCAAC